rnacentral:lncRNA from 1 species
AGGAAGAAAGACAAAAAAGACAAUAUAGAAAACAAAUUUAGAAAUGGCAGAUACGAAUCCAACUUUCUCAGUAAUCACACUGAAUGUAAAUGGAUUAAACAUCCCUCUCAAACAGCAGAGACCAGCAGGACAGAUGAAAAACAUGAUCCCACUAUAUGCUGUCUACAAGAAACACACUUUUGAUUCAGAGCAGAGACCAGAAAGACAGAUGAGAAACACGAUCCCACUAUGUGCUGUUUACAAGAAACACACUUUAGAUUCAGAGAUACAAUGAAAGUUAAAGGGUGAAAAAAGAUACCAUGCAAACAAUAAUCAAAAAAGAGCUAAGUGGCUAUACUAAUAACAUUCAAAAGGGACUUAAAGACAACAUUUUUUUUUCACUAAAGACAAAGAAGGACAUGUCAUAAUGAUAAAAGGGUCUGCUCAUCAGAAAGAAAUAGAAAUACAGACGCACUUAACAGAGCUUCAAAAUUUAUGAAACAAAAGCUGACAAAACUGAAGGAUUCAAUACCUCACAAUCAGACUACAAACCAAUCAGACCCAACAGGCUUCUAUACAACACUACAAACCAACCUCUGACCCAACAGGCAUCUAUACAACACACAAACCAACCUCUGACCCAACAGGCUUCUAUACAACACUACAAACCAACCUCUGACCCAACAGGCGUCUAUACAACACACAAACCAACCUCUGACCCAACAGGCUUCUAUACAACACUACAAACCAACCUCUGACCCAACAGGCAUCUAUACAACACACAAACCAACCUCUGACCCAACAGGCUUCUAUACAACACUACAAACCAACCUCUGACCCAACAGGCGUCUACACAACACACAAACCAACCUCUGACCCAACAGGCUUCUAUACAACACUACAAACCAACCUCUGACCCAACAGGCAUCUAUACAACAUUAGAAACCAAUCAGACCCAACAGGCAUCUAUACAACACUAGAAACCAAUCAGACCCAACAGGCAUCCAUGCAACACUACAAACCAAUCAGACCCAACACACAUCUAUACAACUCUACAAACGAGUCAGACCCAACAGGCAUCUAUACAACAUUACAAACCAACUUCUGACCCAACAGGCAUCUAUACAACACUACAAACCAAUCAGACCCAACAGGCAUCUAUACAACAUUACAAACCAACCUCUGACCCAACAGGCAUCUAUACAACACUACAAACCAAUCAGACCCAACAGGCAUCUAUACAACACUACAAACCAAUCAGACCCAACAGGCAUCCAUAUAACACUACAAACCAAUCAGACCCAACAUGCAUCUAUACAACCCUACAAACCAAUCAGACCCAACAGGCAUCUAUACAAC